CUCUAAAGCAUAAGCAAACUCCAAGGUGUGAGUUACUCUGCAACACUGUAACUUCUUCUUCAUCGAUUUCAAUACCUUUCUCUCUGCCCCUAAUUGGCCAACUUUCUUCACAAACUCAACAAAAACACACUAUCCCUAUGAACAUUAACAUCACUCAAAACCCAACUUUUUCCCAAGCCCACACCUUUUGUCAUUUCCCAUCACAACCAUCUCGACCAUCCCAAACCCGAGUGCUCAGAAAACCCAGUUCCCCAUUUGGGUCCUUCAAGCUUUUCACAAUGUUGAAACUUCCAACUCCUUUCCCAUUUUCUCCAAUUUCCCAUUUGGGUAUUGCUUGAAUCCAAUUUCCUCAACUGGGUUCGAGCAAUUGGGUGCUUUUGACGUUGUUGAGGUCGAAUAUGAUGAUGCAUGGACGAUUUGGGUAGACAGUGUUAAGAAGAAGACGGAUGGGGGCUAGGGUUGGUGCGGGGCAAGAGUGGGUGAACAA
rnacentral:lncRNA from 1 species